UACGUAGGGCGCAAGCGUUGUCCGGAAUUAUUGGGCGUGAAGAGCUCGUAGGCGGUCUGUCGCGUCGGCUGUGAAAACCCGAGGCUCAACCUCGGGCCUGCAGUCGAUACGGGCAGACUAGAGUGCUGUAGGGGAGACUGGAAUUCCUGGUGUAGCGGUGAAAUGCGCAGAUAUCAGGAGGAACACCGGUGGCGAAGGCAGCCCCCUGGGUCAAGAUUGACGCUCAUGCACGAAAGCGUGGGGAGCAAACAGG
rnacentral:rRNA from 1 species